rnacentral:rRNA from 1 species
UAUCAAUAAGCGGAGGAAAAGAAACCAACAGGGAUUGCCCCAGUAACGGCGAGUGAAGCGGCAACAGCUCAAAUUUGAAAUCUGGCCCCUCGGGGUCCGAGUUGUAAUUUGUAGAGGAUGCUUUUGGUGAGGUGCCGCCCGAGUUCCCUGGAACGGGACGCCACAGAGGGUGAGAGCCCCGUCUGGCUGGCCGCCGAGCCUCUGUAAAGCUCCUUCGACGAGUCGAGUAGUUUGGGAAUGCUGCUCAAAAUGGGAGGUAUAUGUCUUCUAAAGCUAAAUAUUGGCCAGAGACCGAUAGCGCACAAGUAGAGUGAUCGAAAGAUGAAAAGCACCUUGAAAAGAGGGUUAAAUAGUACGUGAAAUUGUUGAAAGGGAAGCGCUUGUGACCAGACUUGGGCGCGGCGGAUCAUCCGGGGUUCUCUCCGGUGCACUUCGCCGCGUCUGGGCCAGCAUCAGUUCGUCGCGGGGGAAAAAGGCUUCGGGAACGUGGCUCCUCCGGGAGUGUUAUAGCCCGUUGCAUAAUACCCUGCGGUGGACUGAGGACCGCGCAUCUGCAAGGAUGCUGGCGUAAUGGUCACCAGCGACCCGUCUUGAAACACGGACCAAGGAGUCGUCUUCGUAUGCGAGUGUUCGGGUGUCAAACCCCUACGCGUAAUGAAAGUGAACGCAGGUGAGAGCUUCGGCGCAUCAUCGACCGAUCCUGAUGUUCUCGGAUGGAUUUGAGUAAGAGCAUACGGGGCCGGACCCGAAAGAAGGUGAACUAUGCCUGUAUAGGGUGAAGCCAGAGGAAACUCUGGUGGAGGCUCGCAGCGGUUCUGACGUGCAAAUCGAUCGUCAAAUAUGGGCAUGGGGGCGAAAGACUAAUCGAACCUUCUAGUAGCUGGUU